CGUGCUCAGGUGUUUGUGUGUGUGUGCUCAGGCGCUCGUGUGUGCGUGCUCAGGUAUUUGUGUGUGUGUGCUCAGGUGUUCGUGUGUGCGUGCUCAGGCGUUUGUGUGCGUGCUCAGGUGUUUGUGUGUGCGUGCUCAGGCGCUCGUGUGUGCGUGCUCAGGUGUGUUUAUUAAACAUUACCGGUGACUGCGCUGGCAGGGCUGCGUGUUGCGGAACUCCUCUGUUGACUGAGUAAACAGGCCUGUGGCCGGUGGGGGCCUGGGUGCCUUCUCCUCCCGGAGCCCGGAGUCUUAUUCCCUCCCCGGGUGGAGCCGGCUUGUUCCCGGGAGACGGGACCCGCGGGUGUGUGAGAAUGCGGCGGCCGUCUCUGACACGUGCGGCGCGGCGGGCCUGUGGACGACCGCGUGGCUCUCUCUCUCUCGCACGCGAGCGUGUCAUCAGCGCGGCUCACUUCCUGCUGCCUUUGCCCUUGAGAACGGUGAGGAGGAAGGCAGGCUGGGAGGGGUGAGGGUAAACGAGCACACUGCCGGGUUCACACUUAUGAGCGUUUAGGAGUACUGACUCUAACAGGGCUGUCUGACUCUAACAGGGCUGUCUGACUGUAACAGGGCUGUGUAAUGGUAACAGGGCUGUUUAACUGUAACAGGGCUGUCUGACUGUAACAGGGCUGUCUGACUGUAACAGGGCUGUCUGACUGUAACAGGGCUGUCUGACUGUAACAGGGCUGUCUGACUGUAACAGGGCUGUUUAACUGUAACAGGGCUGUCUGACUGUAACAGGGCUGUCUGACUGUAACAGGGCUGUUUGACUGUAACAGGGCUGUCUAACUGUAACAGGGCUGUUUAACUGUAACAGGGCUGUCUGACUGUAACAGGGCUGUCUGACUGUAACAGGGCUGUCUAACUGUAACAGGGCUGUGUAAUGGUAACAGGGCUGUCUGACUGUAACAGGGCUGUUAGACUGUAACAGGGCUGUCUGACUGUAACAGGGCUGUGUAAUGGUAACAGGGCUGUCUGACUGUAACAGGGCUGUUAGACUGUAACAGGGCUGUCUAACUGUAACAGGGCUGUCUGACUGUAACAGGCCUGUUUAACGCUAACAGGGCUGUUCAGUGGUCUUAGGGAUGUGCACACUGGAAAGGACCUUGUAGUAAUCAGAUCAGACCUGAUGGAUGGCUUGGAUGUGUUGUCCAUCUUUACCAACAGCCUGGCUUAAUUCCUCUGUCACCACUGCUCUGGAUGCUUAUUGAUUCCUUCUCUUUUUUUUCACAGCCGUCUCAAUUAUCCUGUGCUCCCCCAUAUCUCAUAUAGCCUGGGCUUCAUCUAGCCUUUUUACGUAACAGUUUCUUCAUUGAACCCUGUAGCAGCGCUCAAUUAAAUGCAGGCUUGAUUAAAAACAUAACGACUGGGCCGUCUAAGGGAUGCUUAAAUAAUUCAGUGACUUAGGCCCAAUCACAGCUGCUGUGACGUGCUGCUGUAAAAGGAGUCCUGGUCCUGGAGUACUAUUACUGACAUGCGAACGAGCAGCCGAACCUCAGGAGAACACCUGAGACAGGCUGCGGGUAGAGCGACCCCCCACUCCCCAGUCCGUUACAUCAAUCCUGGACACUUUACGAGGGGGAGACCCACUCGGCAUGCUGGGUAGUAUAGAUCCGUUGACCUCAUCAUCUCGCCCGGCGGUGUCGGGGAGCUUUACGGCCUGGCUGUGACCCCCCCUGCCGGGCCUGUGGUACAGUCCGCCGCGCGUGCUGUGGAGUGGGAGAGUGCCCUGUGCUCCAAAGCUGAAAUUCACUCAUUUUAAAUGUGGCUCUGCAUUCAGCGGACAAAUACAGUUAGUCUGCCUAUCUGUCAUCUUGUAAUUUCAGGCAGUCUCAGAGUUCAAUUUUUCAUGUUUUUUUUUUCUUUUUUCUUUUUUCUUUUUGCUAAUUCCAUUGCUGUGUUCUUGUGUGGUCAUUACAUGCACCUUCUUAUAUCCAGCGAACAAAUCCCUUACAAAAUGUGGAAAAACAAAUGCAUUUCAUUUGGAAACCGCCUUCCCCCCUCCAAACAGAGCUGUCAUUAUUUUAGUCUUUGAUGUCUUCAGACAAGGUCACUUGGAGAGCAUGGUGGUUGUUACAGCAGGUGACUGCUGUGUGCUGUUCAUCUCCUGCCAAAAGGCAUUGACGUCGGGAGGAUCUGUUUACAGUAUAUAAUGUCCUUACCACACUUAGCAUGUUUCUAAUUACAGUGGAGGCACACUGCUGUGUGCUCUUUCAAACUGCUUUUGAUGUAGG